CACACCGCCCGUCACACCAUGGGGAGUGGAUUGUACCAGAAGCAGGUAGUCUAACCGCAAGGGGGGACGCCUGCCACGGUAUGGUUCAUGACUGGGGGUG
rnacentral:rRNA from 1 species